ACAAGCACUACCUGUGAUUGGAGUGGUGUCUUGAAAGGCAGGCGGAUGGUGGUCCGUGCAAUAAAAUUCUGGUUUUACAUUAAUUUAUGAAAUAUAUCUCACAUAACCUUGAUUGACACUAAACUGCACAUUGCUUUUUCUAAUUGAACUUGUUAGAUGUACAGUAUACCCAUGACCCUCAUUUUGUAUAGUUCACAUCUGCCAAAAAGCAGUCACAUUAAUUGUAGGACUUUUUUUCUUCCUCCUCAUCCUUCAUUAUCAAUUGCAAAGGAGGCUCUUUCCCUGCCCUGAGAGAAUAUGACAGUUCUCUUUUUAUAGUCUAUAAGCACUUAGAAUUUUAUAUGUCAUACUUUGCAUCUUUUAAUAAGAUAUCAUUCAUUAUAUAUGGUAUCACGUGUGUAUGUAUGAAGGUGUGCAUGAGAUCCAAUUUAAAUUACAUUAUCUCCAUCUACUUUCAUCAGUUCAUGUUGUUCACUAAAAGCUACUUACAUGGCAUUUCAUACUUUCAGAUGACCAUUAGUAGAUGUCAAGAAAUAAAUUACUAUCAGAGGUAAUCUGACAGUUACUAAUGUAACUAUAUCUUUGCCAAAUACAUUAAUAUAUGGCUCUCACAUUACCACUCAUAAAAUUUAGAAAAUAAUAAUCCCCCAUCUUGAUUUAUGGAUAGAAAAUUCACUUCUGAAUUCACUACCCACUACUAAUAAAUAAAGUGAUUUUAAAAUCCCGUUAAUUCUUCACUCUGCCUACAUUAGUUUCUGAUCAAUUUCAUCCAUCCCAGAAAAUACACCUGCAUAAACAUGACUCAUAAGAAAUGAACUAUUGAAAUUCAUUCCUUCACACACACACAUACACACACACACACACACACACACACAAAACCCCUGAACAGUGAUGGCUGAUGGCUCUGAAUAACUACCCACCAUUAUCUCCCCCAUGUACAAUUUUUGGUUUCAUUGUCCCUAAGAAAGCUGAAAAAAGCCAUUUAGAAAAUUGCUGAUGGCUUAGAAAACAGAGUGUCGCAAAAUACAUUCUGAGGCCUAAAGACUGCAUAACAAUGGAGAGAACAAAGAGAUGCAGGUAGAAAGUAUUCAUCUGUAGAGCUUGUUCUCCUGCUUUUUUAAGCGAUAUAACUCUCUUGUGUGAAUUUAUUUCACAUAUUUAUAUGCUAAGAAAAUAUUUAUACAGCAGGACAACCUGGUGGGAACUUGGCGCAAAGAUGAAUUGAACACGAACCUUAUCCCUUAUGACCCAACUUCCUCAUGUGUGUGAUUUGCCCUGUUCCAGAAAUGGACUGCACAAAAUAAGCAAUAUACAUGAGAAGUGGGAACAUUCAUGAACGCAAGAAGAUGUCAUCAGGCUUCUCCAAAUACACUGAAGAUACAGAAAUUCCAGCGAGACCUACAUUCUCCCAGGUAGAACGAAAUCUCAAUUGUUACUCUGAUGUUCUUUGCUGCCUCACUCUACAUUGCUUUGAUUGUACUGAUGUGAACACUAAGACACAAUAAGGGUAAGUCACUCAGCAGAAUCCUACAGUGCCUUAAGGUAAUGUUGUUGGUCAGCCCAUGGUCUCUGGCCACCAGUCCUGUGACCUUCCCUUCCCCAGACUUGUCUGUCUACUCUAAUUCUUGUUAAUGCAAUAAAUGAACUCUGUGCAAGAUUUUUUUUAUUUUUGGAGACUGAGUCUUGCUCUGUCACCCAGGCUGGAGUGCAGUGGCGCUAUCUCGGCUCACUGCAAGCUCCGCUUCCCGGGUUCAUGCCAUUCUCCUGCCUCAGCCUCCCCCCGAGUAGCUGGGACUACAAGCGCCCGCCACCAUGCCUGGCUAAUUUUUUGUAUUUUUAGUUGAGAUGGGGUUUUGCUGUGUUAGCCAGGCCGGUCUCGAUCUCCUGACCUUGUGAUCCGCCCGCCUUGGCCUCCCAAAGUGCUGGGAUUACAGGCGUGAGCCACUGCGCCUGGCCCCAGCAAGAUUUGAAUGUACGCUGUAAAGGCCCAUUUCUGAAAUUCUUCCUUUCUUUCUUUUUCUCCAGGCCUAGUAAAAUAAUCUUCCAAUCUUCAAUUUCAUCUUCUGUGAAAAGUAGUUUAACUCAAUAGGUUGGAAACAGUGCUAUGAGCCUCUUGAUAGAAAUGACAUGAAAAACAUCAUGAGAUGUUCUGACAAAUCUGCUGCAUGAAUAUGAUGAUUUCAAAUAAUAAUUAUGUUCAUUAAUUCUUAUAAUUUUUAUGCCAUGGUCUUAUAUUCUAAUAUUCUUUCUCAUGCCAGGCACCAUUCAAAAGGUUUUAUAUAUGCCAACCUAUAUAGUCCUCACAACAACCCUAAAAAAUAGUAUACUUACUCUCCCCUUUUUAAAGAUGAAUAAAUGGAAAAUUAACUAACUUGCUCAGGUGCUGAUAAUCCCAAUACUACACCCAUCUCCUUGUCAUGAAUUCACUAAUCGUUUUGAUAUGACAUAAGUCUUCAAUUCCCCUAUAAAUGCAAUUUUCCUGUUCUUGAUUUGAUUUAAAACACCUCUAGAAUCCUUUCUAUGUCUAAAAUUACAGUGUUGGAGAAGAAACUAUCAGCUGUAAACGACAUUCAGAUAAUUCCCAUUAACUAUCAACUAUGUAAUUUUGUGUUAUUUUU
rnacentral:lncRNA from 1 species